UACGUAGGGUGCGAGCGUUAAUCGGAAUUACUGGGCGUAAAGCGUGCGCAGGCGGUUUUGUAAGCCAGAUGUGAAAUCCCCGGGCUUAACCUGGGAAUGGCAUUUGGGACUGCAAGGCUGGAGUGCGGCAGAGGAGACUGGAAUUCCUGGUGUAGCAGUGAAAUGCGUAGAUAUCUGGAGGAAUACCGGUGGCGAAGGCGGCAUCCUGGACCGACAUUGACGCUGAGGAGCGAAAGCUAGGGGAGCAAACGGG
rnacentral:rRNA from 1 species